GUGUUCUGGUAGUACAUACACUAAAAUUGUAAAGAUACAAAGGAGAUUAACAUUGCCCUUGCACUAAGAUGACACACAAAUUCCUGAAGCAUUCCAUACUUUU
ensembl:snRNA U6 U6 spliceosomal RNA